rnacentral:rRNA from 2 species
UGAGGAAUAUUGCGCAAUGGGGGCAACCCUGACGCAGCGACGCCGCGUGAGUGAGGAAGGCCUUCGGGUCGUAAAGCUCUGUCAAAGGGAAAGAAGUGCAUGGUGGUUAAUACCUGCCAUGUUUGACGGUACCCUUAAAGGAAGCACCGGCUAACUCCGUGCCAGCAGCCGCGGUAAUACGGAGGGUGCAAGCGUUGUUCGGAAUUACUGGGCGUAAAGGGCGCGUAGGCGGUUUUAUAAGUCAGAUGUGAAAGCCCACGGCUUAACUGUGGAAGUGCAUUUGAAACUGUGAGACUUGAGUACCAGAGGGGAAAGUGGAAUUCCCGGUGUAGAGGUGAAAUUCGUAGAUAUCGGGAGGAAUACCGGUGGCGAAGGCGACUUUCUGGCUGGAUACUGACGCUGAGGCGCGAAAGCGUGGGGAGCAAACA